AUGUCAAUUUAUAUGAAUGUAUAUAUUAUAAUAAUAUAUAUAAUGUAGUGUGUAUGGUGUAUAUCUAUAGUAUAUAUAUAUUCCCAGUAUAUUGUAGCGACCAGUUCACGUGCUACAAUGUAUUCCUGACGGCCUCUAACUGAAACGGUUGCCUGGAGACCGUGUUUUGUUGACGCUCCCAAAAAAAAUGGUUCUCUGCUUGACGCGUAAGAAGAGCGAACAUAGACUUGAAGAGCGAACAUACACUUGAAGAGCGAACAUAGACUUGAAGAACGAACAUAGACUUGAAGAGCGAACAUAGACUUGAAGAGCGAACAUAGACUUGAAGAGCGAACAUAGACUUGAAGAGUGAACAUAUAGACUAGAAGAGAAACGAAGAAAAGGUUAUUACGGAAGAAAUAGAAGAUAUGGAGGAAGAUUUGACGUUACUUUGAACAAGAGGACAGCCUGUCAUCGACUGGCCCCUGCUCAAGAGCGUUCGGCCGUAGCGGUAGUGGUAGGAAUAGAACGCCCCCUUUCAUUGAAUCGAGUGCACUCAAAGACUUGCUGGGUACCCAUUUUAUUUAGUUUGUUAUUUUUCUUGGGGACCUCUUUUGGGUUCAGUGUAUUGAGUUCAGUGUUUUAGGUUCAGUGUUGUUAUUAUUAUUAUUAUUAUUGUAUAUGGUUAGAUCGUUAGAUAAAAGGUCAAACGUG